GAUGAACGCUGGCGGCGUGCCUAAUACAUGCAAGUCGAGCGAAUGGAUUAAGAGCUUGCUCUUAUGAAGUUAGCGGCGGACGGGUGAGUAACACGUGGGUAACCUGCCCAUAAGACUGGGAUAACUCCGGGAAACCGGGGCUAAUACCGGAUAACAUUUUGAACCGCAUGGUUCGAAAGUGAAAGGGGGCUUCGGCUGUCACUUAUGGAUGGACCCGCGUCGCAUUAGCUAGUUGGUGAGGUAACGGCUCACCAAGGCAACGAUGCGUAGCCGACCUGAGAGGGCGAUCGGCCACACUGGGACUGAGACACGGCCCAGACUCCUACGGGAGGCAGCAGUAGGGAAUCUUCCGCAAUGGACGAAAGUCUGACGGAGCAACGCCGCGUGAGUGAUGAAGGCUUUCGGGUCGUAAAACUCUGUUGUUAGGGAAGAACAAGUGCUAGUUGAAUAAGCUGGCACCUUGACGGUACCUAACCAGAAAGCCACGGCUAACUACGUGCCAGCCGCCGCCGUAA
rnacentral:rRNA from 1 species